rnacentral:lncRNA from 1 species
UGAAUUGUAUUUCUGAAAUGCAUAUGAUAUGAUAAAUGAUUGGUUUGAACAUUUAUGGUUGGUGUUAGACUGGUUUUAUAGGACAGAAAUGGCAUAAAUUUGUUGAAUUCUAUUCACGCUGAUAUUCUUCACUUUUUCUUGCAGCACACAAUUUAGCUUCUCCAGACACUGUAUCUCAUAUUUUUCUUUGAGUUUCUUCUCCACGACCUCUUGUAUCAUUUUCACCAACAUCUUCAUUGCCUUACUUGCUGCUCAUCGAGCUCCAAUAUUUUAUCGUGUUUUAUCAUCUUUGUAUACACGACCUCAACCAUCUCUUUCGAUCUCUCAAACAACUUAACCGACCUUCCCACUUGCUUUAUUGGGUUGUUUAUGAUCUCCAUGAAGCUUUGCACUUCGUUUUCCAGCUUUGCACUUCGUUUUCCAUGGAGUUGUUCUCUACUAAGCUCAAAUUCAGUUUUAGAUUAACCAACUCGGCAUAAUCCGCAUCUAGAUCAACAUUCGGUUUUACCAAAGUUAUAGCAUUUUUUUGGAUCUAUAUUCAUUUGUGUAGUGGUCAUGCUUGCCACACUUAAUACACUCCACUCCUGUCGACCUCCUUGAUCGUUCCUUUGUCCUUGAACACCCGCG